rfam:Corchorus olitorius cultivar O-4 contig18034, whole genome shotgun sequence.
AUGGCAUGUUGAGGACAAUCGGCGUAAAGUUUCUUGAAUCUUUCCCAAGCUAGGUAAAAAUGCUCAUCAUUGCGUUGUCGAAAACUUGCAAUCCUUUGUCUCCCCUU